rnacentral:rRNA from 1 species
GACGAACGCUGGCGGCGUGCUUAACACAUGCAAGUCGAACGGAAAGGCCCUGCUUUUGUGGGGUGCUCGAGUGGCGAACGGGUGAGUAACACGUGAGUAACCUGCCCUUGACUUUGGGAUAACUUCAGGAAACUGGGGCUAAUACCGGAUAGGAGCUCCUGCUGCAUGGUGGGGGUUGGAAAGUUUCGGCGGUUGGGGAUGGACUCGCGGCUUAUCAGCUUGUUGGUGGGGUAGUGGCUUACCAAGGCUUUGACGGGUAGCCGGCCUGGAAGGGGGACCGGCUCCAUGGGAACGGGGAAAGGACCAGACUCCUACGGGAGGCAGCAGUGGGGAAUAUUGCACAAUGGGCGGAAGCCUGAUGCAGCAACGCCGCGUGCGGGAUGACGGCCUUCGGGUUGUAAACCGCUUUCGCCUGUGACGAAGCGUGAGUGACGGUAAUGGGUAAAGAAGCACCGGCUAACUACGUG